rnacentral:rRNA from 1 species
AUUGAACGCUGGCGGCAGGCCUAACACAUGCAAGUCGGACGAGCGGCGGACGGGUGAGUACUGUCUGGGGAUCUGCCUGAUGGCGGGGGAUAACUACUGGAAACGGUAGCUAAUACCGCAUACCAUCAGAUGAACCCAGAUGGGAUUAGCUUGUAGGUAAGGUACCGGCUUACACAGGCGACGAUCCCUAGCUGGUCUGAGAGGAUGAACAGCCACACUGGUACUGAGACACGGCCCAGACUCCUACGGGAGGCAGCAGUGGGGAAUAUUGCACAAUGGGCGCAAGCCUGAGGCAGCCAUGCCGCGUGUAUGAAGAAGGCCUUCGGGUUGUAAAGUACUUUCAGUCGGGAGGCGUUACCGACAGAAGAAGCACCGGCUAACUCCGUGCCAGCCGCCGCGGUAAUUC